CAUCAUUUCCGUAACCGUUCUUAUGUGUCAAGUAUCCAGGUCAUGAGGCAGCGGACGUCUAAUAAGUAGCCGAAAGGAAAUAUGGCUGGAAAAAGAUCGCAAUUUCGAAAUGGAUGUUGCUCGGAAUUUGUUUAUCACAUCUGCCGUCUGCUCUUUGUGGGAUUUUGCUUAGGUGUAGUGCUAUUGGCAACUAAUCGGUCUGCCAAAGAAUACGCACGAAGUCAAGAUUUAGACGUCCUCGUCCCAUCCGGCCUAUGGAGCUUCGGAGACCUUGACGUAACACUAUGUCCCUUGCCGACACUGAACGCCAUAGCGGGCCUCCACAUAGGGAACAGCUACCGGAAGUUUUCGAGAUUCAAGGAGGCACAACUGUUUGAAGGAUCAGCCAAGUACAGUCAGUUCAACGCAGUGUUUCAGGAAAUGAAUGCAUGUCUACAUCGGAGCAAGUUCGCGAGGGUGUCGGAUGAUCUUCUAUACAAAAUAGACCGAGCACAAAGUGUGGGAUGUAUUCCGAACAUGACAACGGCUUUAGCCAA